rnacentral:rRNA from 1 species
UAGGGAAUAUUAGUAAUGGGCGAAAGCCUGAACUAGCAACACCGCGUGUGCGAAGAAGGCCUUCGGGUUGUAAAGCACUUUUUGAGAGGAUGAGGAAGGACGGUACUCUCAGAAUAAGUCUCGGCUAACUACGUGCCAGCAGCCGCGGUAACACGUAGGAGGCAAACGUUAUCCGGAUUUACUGGGCGUAAAGCGCGUGUAGGUGGUUUGGUAAGUAGAGCGUGAAAGCUCCUGGCUCAACUGGGAGAGGUCGUUCUAAACUGCCGGACUGGAGGAUGGUAGAGGGAGGUGGAAUUCCGGGUGUAGCGGUGGAAUGCGCAGAUAUCCGGAGGAACACCAGUGGCGAGAGCGGCCUCCUGGACCACUCCUGACACUCAGACGCGAAAGCUAGGGUAGCAAACG